rnacentral:pre_miRNA from 1 species
AGGGAGCAGCAGGGUCCUGGGCUGUGUCCCCCGGCCCUGGGCUCCCGGGCCUGCACCGCUGGAAUCGCACUCUUGGGGAUGCGCAGUCCCCU